UUCACGGAGAGUUUGAUCCUGGCUCAGGACGAACGCUGGCGGCGUGCUUAACACAUGCAAGUCGAAC
rfam:Streptomyces aureofaciens strain ATCC 10762 contig_12, whole genome shotgun sequence.